AGAAAAUUAGCUUAAUGGUAUAGCGUUCGUUUUACACAUGAAAGGUUAUAGGUUCAAAUCCUAUAUUUUCUA
rnacentral:tRNA from 1 species